rnacentral:rRNA from 1 species
AACGAACGCUGGCGGCAGGCUUAACACAUGCAAGUCGAACGCCCCGCAAGGGGAGUGGCAGACGGGUGAGUAACGCGUGGGAACGUGCCCUUCGCUUCGGAAUAGCCCCGGGAAACUGGGAGUAAUACCGAAUACGCCGUAUUGGGAAAGAUUUAUCGGCGAAGGAUCGGCCCGCGUUGGAUUAGCUAGUUGGCGGUGUAAUGGACCACCAAGGCUACGAUCCAUAGCUGGUCUGAGAGGAUGAUCAGCCACACUGGGACUGAGACACGGCCCAGACUCCUACGGGAGGCAGCAGUGGGGAAUCUUGGACAAUGGGCGCAAGCCUGAUCCAGCCAUGCCGCGUGAGUGAAGAAGGCCUUAGGGUUGUAAAACUCUUUCGCCGGAGAGGAUAAUGACGGUAUCCGGAGAAGAAGCCCCGGCUAACUUCGUGCCAGCCGCCGCCGUAAUAC